GUUUUAGUUAUGAAUAUAAACUGGUAAUGAGGUGUAGUUUUAGUUAUGAAUAUUAGCUGGUAAUGAGGUGUAGUUUUAGUUAUGAAUAUUAGCUGGUAAUGAGGUGUAGUUUUAGUUAUGAAUAUUAACUGGUAAUGAGGUGUAGUUUUAGUUAUGAAUAUUAACUGGUAGUGAGGUGUAGUUUUAGUUAUGAAUAUUAGCUGGUAAUGAGGUGUAGUUUUAGUUAUGAAUAUUAACUGGUAAUGAGGUGUAGUUUUAGUUAUGAAUAUUAACUGGUAAUGAGGUUAUACACUGAGUGGACUAGAUAUUACUCUAACUGAGCAGUGUAUCCUAUAGGUUAUACACUGAGUGGAGUAAAUAUUACUCUAACUGAGCAGUGUAGUCUAUAGGUUAUACACUGAGUGGACUAAAUAUUACUCUAACUGAGCAGUGUAGCCUAUAGGUUAUACACUGAGUGGACUAAAUAUUACUCUAACUGAGCAGUGUAGCCUAUAGGUUAUACACUGAGUGGACUAAAUAUUACUCUAACUGAGCAGUGUAGCCUACAG
rnacentral:lncRNA from 1 species